CCUACGGGGGGCAGCAGUGGGGAAUAUUGGACAAUGGGCGAAAGCCUGAUCCAGCCAUGCCGCGUGUGUGAAGAAGGCCUUCGGGUUGUAAAGCACUUUCAGUGGGGAAGAAAGCCUUGGGGCUAAUACCCUCGAGGAAGGACAUCACCCACAGAAGAAGCACCGGCUAACUCCGUGCCAGCAGCCGCGGUAAUACGGAGGGUGCGAGCGUUAAUCGGAAUUACUGGGCGUAAAGCGCGCGUAGGCGGUCUGAUAAGCCGGUUGUGAAAGCCCCGGGCUCAACCUGGGAACGGCAUCCGGAACUGUCAGGCUAGAGUGCAGGAGAGGAAGGUAGAAUUCCCGGUGUAGCGGUGAAAUGCGUAGAGAUCGGGAGGAAUACCAGUGGCGAAGGCGGCCUUCUGGACUGACACUGACGCUGAGGUGCGAAAGCGUGGAUAGCAAACAGGAUUAGAUACCCCAGUAGUC
rnacentral:rRNA from 1 species